rnacentral:rRNA from 1 species
UACGGGGGGGGCAAGCGUUGUUCGGAAUUACUGGGCGUAAAGGGCUUGUAGGUGGCCAACUAAGUCAGACGUGAAAUCCCUCGGCUUAACCGGGGAACUGCGUCUGAUACUGGAUGGCUUGAGUGUGGGAGAGGGAUGCGGAAUUCCAGGUGUAGCGGUGAAAUGCGUAGAUAUCAGGAAGAACACCGGUGGCGAAAGCGCUCUGCUGGACCUUAACUGACACUGAGGGACGAAAGCUAGGGGAGCGAAUGGG